GACGAACGCUGGCGGCGUGCCUAAUACAUGCAAGUAGAACGCUGAAGGAGGAGCUUGCUUCUCUGGAUGAGUUGCGAACGGGUGAGUAACGCGUAGGUAACCUGCCUGGUAGCGGGGGAUAACUAUUGGAAACGAUAGCUAAUACCGCAUAAGAGUAGAUGUUGCAUGACAUUUGCUUAAAAGGUGCAAUUGCAUCACUACCAGAUGGACCUGCGUUGUAUUAGCUAGUUGGUGGGGUAACGGCUCACCAAGGCGACGAUACAUAGCCGACCUGAGAGGGGGAUCGGCCACACUGGGACUGAGACACGGCCCAGACUCCUACGGGAGGCAGCAGUAGGGAAUCUUCGGCAAUGGACGGAAGUCUGACCGAGCAACGCCGCGGGAGUGAAGAAGGUUUUCGGAUCGUAAAGCUCUGUUGUAAGAGAAGAACGAGUGUGAGAGUGGAAAGUUCACACUGUGACGGUAUCUUACCAGAAAGGGACGGCUAACUACGUG
rnacentral:rRNA from 1 species